rnacentral:miRNA from 1 species
UUCAGUUCGCUCUCUUCGUCA